rnacentral:tRNA from 9 species
GCCCCCGUCGUCUAGCGGUUUAGGACACCUGGUUCUCAUCCAGGAGAUCACCGGUUCAAAUCCGGUCGGGGGUACAA